UUUGGAAUAUUUUUAGAAGGAAUGGUACCAGCUCUUCUUUGUACCUCUAGUAGAAUUCGGCUCUGAAUUUGGUUCCACUCUCCCCAUCACUUUCAGGUACACCAACCAAAGACAUUGUUGUCUUUGGGACCAAUACAUUUCUUCUAUCUGCAUAUCUGGGUAGAAGCUCUCAUGGAAGAAAAAAGAAAAGCCCCAUAGGUGAAGGGGAGUGUGCCUGCCAAGUUCCUUGUAAUAACUUCACACGCAGAGUAUUUUCUGAAAUGGAUCUGCUAGAGUCAUCUCAUGGAAUCUUCUCAUUCUUCUGGAGUCUCCUCAUUUUACAGACGCUGAAGGAAAAACACCAGCUGAGGAAGAAUGAAGAACUGCCUGUUCUAAGUUAUUCUCCUUCUGUGGUCAUUCGAGCACCAGGAAGACCAGGUUUGCCCCAUCAAGUACCUCAAGAAAGAAGUCAAUUACCUAAAGAAGUCAAGCAAAGAGGAAAGGACAAAAUGAAAAUCAUGUACCAGGGUACACGUCGAGGCUCCAAGCUGGAAUGAAUAUGGCCUUCAACAUACUCUUUAUCAUACAGAAGCUUGUGUUCAGGGCUUGGAUUUUGAAGUCAGACAGACCUGGAUUAAAAACCAAUUCAACUACCUAUUACAUAUGUGACCUAGGAAAAACAUCCAGGCAAGUGGACAGCAUUUGCAACAGCCCAGCAAUAAGAAGGACCAUAUUCUACUUGGGAAAAGCCUGCCAGGAAACCUGUCAUUCAACCCUUUGCAAUAAAACAGCUCCUCAUGAAUGAAGCAAAAUAAAUCAGAAGUUGUGGGCUUUUAAACUCACUAAAUGAAAGCACAGCAUGCAUGCAGCCUCCCUCCAAAUUAAUCACCAGAUUAAAUGCAAGAUGUGCACACCAAAUCAAUAGCUUGUGACGGGGACCUCCUGCCUGUGCUUCAGGAAAAUUCCAUUUCCUUUCAGAUGUUGUCGCUUGAAAUGUCAGGAAGUUUCCAUUCAUCACCCGCCCUUGAAAAUGCCACCAUCACCAUACUUCAUGUUUCCUUGCUUUCUUUCUUCAGAGGAAUCCAAGCACCUUGCAGAGGGAGCCCACUCCUUGUCACAGACUCUCCUGGAGGCUGAAACAGGGGCAGUCUGCACAGAGGAGAGGUGUAGAGAGGCGCGAUUUAGAAAUAAGAAAACCAAAUCGUAAAGAAGCCUAAUGUCUUGUUGCAACAUCUGAAAGAAACAAGAUGAAUAUAUUCCACUAGGUGGGAAGCUUAGGGUAGUGGGAAGAACAUGGAUUCAGGACUUUGAGAAACAUGGAUUUAAAUUUUGAUCCCCAAUGCCUCUCUGCACUUCACUGUUAUCUAUAAAAUAGAGGAAAUAAAAAUACUAUACAUUCAAGUCUUAACACCAACAGUUAACUAGUUGUGUAACCUUGGACAAGUUAUGUGACCUCUCUGUCUGAGCAUUGUCAUUUGUAUAUGAGAUCAUGGAGGUUAAAUGUCCAACCUGUUGUCACUGUGCACCUCAAAAUAAUAAAUAAAACAUUUCAUCUCUCAA
rnacentral:lncRNA from 1 species